CCGGCGGAUGGGGGCGGAGGGAGUCGAGGGCCGGGCUCCCGCCCCGGGCGCGCUGGGAGGAAGGAAGGACCCUGCGUGCAGGCAUUUGGUCCUUGGGAGAGUGAGUGAAUAAACAGAAGACCUCACCUACCACCACCCGUGCCCUGGUCCCGUGGCUCCCGACCAGCCUCCUUGCUGGUUUCCUGGCCUCUGGGACUCCUUUCAGUGCCCUCAACCCAGUGAUCAGUUCACUCCCCUGCUCAAAGUUCAACAGUGCUAAUAGAUCAGCUCUGCAUUCUUGUUGCAGGCGGUCAGCAGCCAUCAGAAUCUGACCCCUGCCUGCUGUCCUCCAUCAUUGCCCACACACGUUUUACAUGCUAGGGAUACAUAACACUGGACUGCUGCGAAUUCCCAGAAUAAACCAGGUCCUUUGUACCUC